rnacentral:rRNA from 1 species
UACGUAGGGUGCAGGCGUUAAUCGGAAUUACGGGGCGGAAAGCGUGCGCAGGCGGUCUUUUAAGUCAGAUGUGAAAUCCCCGGGCUUAACCUGGGAACUGCGUUUGAAACUGGAAGGCUUGAGUGUGGCAGAGGGGGGUGGAAUUCCACGUGUAGCAGUGAAAUGCGUAGAGAUCAGGAGGAACACCCGUGGCGAAGGCGGCUCUCUGGGUCCGCCCUGACGCUGAGGCGCGAAAGCGUGGGGAGCGAACGGG